GCUUAUCACUCCCAGCUGCUCUCAUGUCAACCCCUUCCGUGUCAUCCGCUACUUUACCUAAUGCGUCGUUGCGAUUUGCUAGCUCAGUUUGUGUCCAAGCCAAAGAAUGGACACCUGUGGCAAGAGAGAAGGCUUCACGACGUCCAAAAUGACGAUUCGUGAGGAGUAAGAGUCGGGCAUUAGGACAUGAAUUGCAGAGAUUCCUCACACGUAUGGGUGAAAGAAGUCCACGAUUGACUAUUGUGAGUAGAAGCAGCUUCGAAAUUGUUCGUUUUGUUGGAGCUGACGUGUUCAAUGAAAGAAGAAUAGUCCAGCCAACGUGAUCAAGGUUUGUGAUGCUGACCAAGCAGUAGAUGGCAGCGUAAAGCAAAGUCGAACCCCAUACUUUCCAAAUGAGCAAAUGCAUUACUUCAUCACGGACGUUUUAAAAGCUUUUUCACAGAUGGAUGGAGCUGAGCAGUGAUGUCUCAAACGGCUCAAGAAGUUUUCAGUAUGGCUUUCAACAUUUUGGGUUGCCGACCCCUGCUCUAACAAGUGGCGCUGUGACCCGCAUUCUGAAGAAGUACAUCAGUGGUGAGACGAGCUGAGACAUAAAAGAACUGCACCGGAAUAAAGAGAGCUGGAGCCAAUCCCAGCUAACUUCGGGCAGCGGCAGACUACACCCCGAACUUGUCGCCAGCCAGUCGCAGUGCAGAUGUCAAAACCAUCCCUGAGCUGGAAUCGAUCUCACGCUGCCUUCACACGAAAUAUCCCUCUGAGGGAAACCCGAACUACAACGUGGCCCUCGAGAAAUGAGUUCGACAUCCCUGCACUACACCCAAAAAAAAUUUUUACCCGAACACUGGCAUAGACCGAGCAAGAGCUGAAUGACAUGGACAAAAUAGAAACACGUGGAUACACCUUACACACUGUAAAAGGUCAUCUCAGCUGAGUCAACCAAGGGGAAAGCUUUACAGGGACAGAUUUUAAGGUGGGAAGUCUCAACAAAGCAUGGUGUCAUGAUAUCCAUCUACAAACUGCCGCACUGCUCCCAUGCAGCUCUUUGUUGUGGUGGUUUGUUGGUCAAAGAGGAUACACAAUUGGCCGCAUCCGUCUUUGGACCUCCCCUUGGGUUCUCCCGAAGGCGAAGGUCCUCUUGGGAAGAUGGAGAUUUGACAUACAUUGAUGCAAAUGGCAAAUUGAAUGCUUUCCCGCCAGGACUUGGGGGCAUUACCCCUGCGUCCCGUGGGGAAGGAGGGUGCAUGGUACAUCCACCCGAAACUAUGGUUCUAAUCACUGGGGCAUAUGCGGUGGUGACCCACGCCUAUUGCUGACCACAGACCAAACCCUGCUAUCCAGACGUUUUUGGAACCAAUAUGGCUUGUUCAACGUUUUGGGUUGCCGACCUUUGCUCUCACAAAUGGUGCUGUGACGUGCAUUCUGAAGAGGUACAUCAGUGGUGAGACGAGCUGAGACAUAAAAGAACUCCAACAUGAUUAAAGUGUAAACGACGACGUUCCAAAUGGGAAUUUGUCCACUUAAACACAAAUCUCCCUUAACCCGACUUGGAAUGGUGGGGGGUCGACGACUACUGCCCAAGAUGAAGAUGGGGGUGUUAUACGAGUUGCAACAGAGCUCCAAGUAGGAAUUUUUCCACUUCAAUAUAUAAAUCUCCUUUCACCCUACUGGGAUGGUGGGAAGUAGACUGUGGACCAAGAUGAGGGUGUCACAGGAGUUGCACAUCAACACCUCUGCAGCAGCCUCACUCAAAGACCUGCGGCCACCCCUCCAAAUGGACCUGUUACGGUCCGUCCACCCGAAACUCUGGUUCCAAUCAGUGAGGCAUGUGCGUUUGACCCUGCGUUUUGCUUCCUACUAUCCAGAAAUGAAUUCACAACGUAAGUUUAUGUAAAGAAAACACCCCGCCCCCCAAAAUAGAAAAGUUAGUCCAACUGCAUUACAUCUGGAGAAUGGAGAGGAGCUCAAAGAAAUUUAAGUGGAUUGCAUCUCCAAACUCUACUACUGCAAGUUUUGCUGCAACUCGAGAGGAACUAAAGCGUGGAAAACUUAAUCGAUGGAUGGAGGUGACCAGUGAUGUCUCAAACGGUGUCGUGACCCGGAUUCUGAAGAGGAUACAUCAGUGGUGAGACAUAAGACUGCACCAUGAUAAAGGAAGUUGCGACUGGUGGGGGACGGGCCCUUCUCCGCCACUCGGAACAAAGGUCCUCGAACACUUUUGAUGGACUAGUGUGGAAAAUCCCAAGCCAGUGGGUUGCACCAACCCUCCCUUGUACAAUACUGGUCCAAGACUUGUAAUCAAGACUAUUAUUGAAUCAGAUUAGAAAUAAUAUACAAGCAAAUCAUCUGACUGUAUUACAUAACACUUAUGUAGAUAUGAAUUCACAAUGUAAUUUUAUGUGAAGAAACCUCCUGCCCCCCAAAAUGGAAAAGUUAGUGCAAUUGCAUUACAUCUGGAGAAUUUCGAGGAGCUCAAAAAGAAAUUUAAGUGGAUUGCAUCUCCAAACUCCACUACAAGUUUUGCUGCGACUCGAGAGGAGCUCAAGCGUGGAAAACUUCGAUGGAUGGAGCUGACCAGUGAUGUCCGAAAACAUAAGUCUCAAACGGUGUCGUGACCCGGACUCUGAAGAGGUACAUCAGUGAGACAUAACUGCACCAUGAUAAAGGAAGUUGCGAUUGGGGGACGGGCCCUUCUCCGCCGGUCGGAACAAAGGUCCUCGAACACUUUUGAUGAACUUGUGUGGAAAAUCCCAAGCCAGUGGGUUGCACCAACCCUCCCUUGUACAAUCCUGGUCCUUGGCCUCUAAUCAAGUCAAUUGAAUCAGAUUACAAAUAAAAUAACAGCAGAUCAUCUGACUGCAUUACAUAAGUGUCUUUGAGACUUGCGAUUAUCAAUUAGAGUGCCAGCGGUAUUUUUACUGCACUAGUGUCUGAAUUGGUUAAAUGCAACAGAAGAGACAAGUGGGCGUUAGUCAAUGCUGUUCAUAAUUGCGUAAGUGUAAGCGACAGUUCCAAUUCAGCACAAAUUUCCCUUUGACCUACUGGGGUUUAGAUUUGGUUCGAAGUCAUUUCUUUGCUUGUUUAGCAUUUAAUAAUAAAACUUAAUUGAAAAUGUAAUUCUAUUUACAUAAAGGAAAAAUCCCUAAAAUCUAAAACUGACAUCCAAUAAAAUAAACUGUGGCAUUCAAUCAAAUAACAUUUCAGCCUGUCAUAGUAAAUUAUCAUAGCCAGUUGUAAUCAUUUCUGGUGACCUCCCUUUGAAAAAUCAAUUGUGAAAUGAGUUAUUUGUUAUUCCCCCCACUUUGCUCACUUUUUUUAAAAUUAUAUAUCAUGCUCCUUUUUUUAGCCCUGUAUCUUAAAUGCACAAUGUUCAAAAUAACUGACUUUCCAAACUGCAUUUACAACGUAUGAAAUGUUAACAGUUCCAUUUGAAUAGGAUAUAGAAAAUUGUAACUUUCAUCUCUUUACUUUUCUUAUAAAACAAUGCGGUAACUUCUUUUUUACUUUUUCUGGAGUUAGUGUUUAAAAAUAAAUAAAUUUCCAUUAUUAGUCUUUGAUACUUUGUGUUGGAUUAAACUUUUUGUUUUAGUGCUCUGAAGAGUCGCUAAUGGGAUGGUAGUAAACCUGCCUAACUUUAGUGUGGCCAUUGUGGGAUCGAUUCCCAUUCAGUAACGAUGUACAGUGUGACUAAUGACCUGUUCAGGUUGGAGUCUGCCUUUCAACCAAUAUUCGCUGGGAUUGGCUCCAGCCCUCCUUUGCCAAUUGUGAGGAUAAGUGGCUUACAAAAUGGAUGUCUUCCAGCAGAUUAUAUUUGAUUGAGACAAGGAAAUUAAGCCUGUCUUUUUGUGACUUGUGUACAAAUGUCUAAUCUGGUCUGCUUUUGGUAUCCAAACACAUUUACAAUUAUCUUGACUACUGUAUUUUACUAUUUUCUUUACUGUCCAAGUCAAGUGUAUUCAUUUAGUCAUUAACCCCCUGAAUGUUUGUGGGGGGGAAAAAAAAUAAAUAACCGUUAAUACAUGUUAUUUGCUAACUUAAAGGGGAAUUCCGGUGGUUUCCAUAAACAAUGUAUUCAAUAGAUAAUGUAAUAUGUACUCUAUCUUGACAAUGUGUUAAAUCCUCUCUCAUUUAAGUGUUUUCAGAUUGCCAACAAUUGCGAGUUGUCAGGGGCGCUGCCAUUUUGGCGAGUCACAUGACCUACAUGCACGGAUAUGACUGGUUACGUGCAGUUCCAAACGCUUGAUUUCAGGGGACAUCAUUAUGAUUUCUCGGAUUGAUCCUCAUCUGCUGAAUAAAUGGCAGUAUCGGUUGAUUUGGGAAGACUUGAGGAAUAUUUCCCCAUACGGAUUUGAACUUGUGGCUUUAAAUAAUGCCGGGCUAAAUGUUGAAUGUUCGGGCGGAAUGACGCGGAGUCUGAGCUCGCUCGGCGGGGAGCGAGCUCACGGCUCCGCUGCUAAGUGGAGCUCGCUCCCCGCCGAGCGAGCUCCGCCGCUGGGCGGCAUUAUUUGCAGUCACUGGUUCUAAUCUGUAUGGAAGUAUUCCUCAGUCUUCCCGAUCAAUUGAUACUGCUAUUUCUUCAUCAGAUGAGGAUAAAUCAGUGAUGGGCAUAAUGAGGUUUCACGUAAUUGAGCGUUUGGAACGGUAUGUAACAUGUCACAUCAGUGUACCGUAGGUCACGUGACUUGUGAAAAUGGCAACGCCCCUGCAAAUUUGUAAUUGUUUAAAAAAAAUCUCAACACUAAAUAAGAGCAUUUAAGAUCACAUUGUCAAGAUGGAUUACAUCUUACAUGACCUAUUGGAUACAUGAAUGCAAACCUCUCGGAUUACCCUUUUUAAAUUUUCAUUAAACUUGUAGUUUUUCCUCUAUGGUUAAUUGUUCAAGAAAUAUUAAAAUCCAUUUUAUAAGACGUGCAAGAGCUAAUUGUGCGAAAAACGUCAAGCAGUGAAUAGAUUUGCACUGUAUAACGAACAAAACUCUGCCAGAAAAACUGUAGGUAGCCAGGUUGGUUAUUUUGUUGGUUUGGAUUUGUAUUUUAGGUUUUCAAAAUAUUAUGAUUGCCCUGUAUUUACACUAUUAGAAGUAACCAGAGGUUAACACUUGUGUUAAAAAUAAAUUUCCUACCCAAAGUGCGCCGCACCCCACUUCGACAACCCCCCCCCCCACCCACCAGAGACAUUUUCAUUUUUUCCAAAUUGGUCGUUUUCGUCCCUGAAAAUAGACCUCACUGAUUGAAUGCCACACGAUUUUAUUGAACAUCCCCCUUUCUACUAAUUGCACAGCCUUAAAAGUGUAUAUCAUGAAUGCUGAAUCCUGAAAAUUUGAUUCCAACUGUUUAACUUGACAUGUAGCAACAAAAUAUAUUAAACUUGUAUUAAUCUAGUUAGUCACAUUGGUCUGCUUUUAUUUUGAACGCUACACGUAAUGGCAAAACACAGGUGUUAUGGGAUGAUUUAAGCUUUUUCCCAGGAGCAAUAGUUGGGGAACCACAGGUAAUGGUUUAAGAAUUGAAAAUGCGUCUCGGGAAAAAAAACUUGUCAAAGUACAUUACUGGCGUGGUAGUCCCAAAAGGUUUACUUUCCAAGACUGUACAGGAAUCUUUAAACAUUUGCUAAUUCUAAAAGCUUGUAAUUCCAGAACUGUGACAAUGGAAGUUAAGACGUAGCUGAAAGCAUUGAAAUUUCAAAGGAACUGUGAGGGAAAGAUUUGACAAGGGUUAGGGUUUUAGGUUGAAUAGUUGAGGUGGUGUAUGAUGAGUCUGCUUUGUGGAAAAUAGCAACACUUGUCUUUUUUGUUUAUUGCAGCAAAAUGAUUCUCAAACGAAAUUCAAGUUUUAUUUGACAUCCUGUGGGAUAAUUAGGCCAGCUGGCGUAACAAAAUAUUAGCAGUGAAUUAUGUUUUAUAAGAUGUCAAAACAGUUCUGUUAAUCUCUAGAUGCAUGCAAUAUUCUUAAAGGCAUCUGACACAUCAUUUGAAGGUGGGGGGGUUAGACAUUGAAGUGAAAAGUACCCACUUGUUCGUGAGUAACUUUGUAAGUGCGGACUCUGAGAAAAGCACUCUAGUAAACUGAAUAGUUUGCCUGAACAACAUACAAUUGCAAGGAAAAAUAUGAGAAAUUGUUUAAAAUGUAUACAAAUUUUGGUCAAAUUAUACAUAAAUUUGAAAAAAGUUAACAUUUUGUCCCACAUGGAAAGUCACAAACCAGAGGGUUUUUCACCCUCCCUUGUACGAUCCUGGUACUUGGCCAGUAAUUGUCAAUUAUUGAAUGCGAUUACAAAUAAAGUAACAGCAAAUCAAUUGCUAGCAUUCCAUAACUUUCUUUGAGACUUGUGGAGAGAGAGAGAGAGAGAGAUGGAAAGGAGAUUUAUUUGAGCUUAAGUGUCUGAGAGCAAUGCAUCAAAAGAGUCGUGGCAGGACAAACUAUUCUUGAGUAUAAAUGAACUCUUAAUGUAAGGUUGGUGUGUACACCACUGUUUAAUUCAACAUAAUGCUGCUCUGCCAUGUAGUAAAAGAUUUUACAUUUAUUCCUACGACAUAAAUAUUUCUUAUGGGCAUAGGCCGAACAAUGUCCUGCUGACUUUAAGGGUUUGGCAAGCUUGUGAUUUGAAUAUGAUGACGUGAUGACGUGAAACUGAAAUGUUUCUUAACAUCGCAAAGUCUGAUUCUCCAUCUAAAAUAUUACAGGCCACCCCUUUUUUUUUUUUUUUUUGUGGUUAGGGUUCAGUGAAGGGAAACGAGCCUUCCCUCUCCCGGUGUGGAAAAUAAUUCCCCCUCCGAUUGGGGGGCGGGGGGGGAGGUGCACAGUCCGCCCACCUUGCUCCGCUCUCCUUUGUCUCGAUCGAUUAUCUUGAUCUCUCAAUCAAUCUCUCUGUAGAUCUCUUGAUUGAUCUCUUUCGAUCGAUCUCUAGAUCAAUGUCUCUAUCUCUCUAUAGAUCUCUCUUCAGAUUACAAAUAAUAUACAAGCAAAUCAUCUGACUGUAUUACAUAACACUUAUGUAGAUAUGAAUUCACAAUGUAAUUUUGUGAAGAAACCCUCCCCAACCCCCAAAUUGGAGUUAGUGCAAUUUCAUUACAUCUGGAGAAUUUCGAGGAGCUCAAAAAGAAAUUUAAGUGGCUUGUAUCUCCAAACUCCACUACGACUGCAAGUUUUGUUGCAACUCGAGAGGACCUAAAGCGUGGAAAACUUGAUCCAUGGAUGGAGCUAACCAGUGAUGUCUGAAAAAGUCUCAAACGGGUAAGAAUACAAUCCUGUUCUAGGCAUAUAUUCAGUAACAAAGUACAGUAGCUGUUUUAUUCUUAAAUACAGACUGUUUUAUUGCAUUUAGUGCUGAGAUAAUGAGCACGUAAUGCGUGUUUUUAAUUUUUUCAAAUCCCCAAUAAAAUGACAAAUUGGAUUUCUUCUUCUUUAUCAAAGAAAUGAAACAUUGUAAUGAAGCUAAACUUGAGGUCAUUGUACAGCAGCAGUCACGUAGUGCGUUCUCGACAAAAUGCACCGCAGGGAAAAUAAACUUAAUCAUGAAUGCUCAUGUAUUUGUAGCCAACUUAAUCAUUUUGAUAGGCUUAUUUACAUACAGCAUAUGUUGCCUUCAUUAUCAGGUUUAUGUAAGGAUUUCGGUGUUUUUGUGGCUCCACACGUUAAUUUAAAUUUUUUUUUUUUUUUUUUU